UGCCAGCCGCCGCGGUAAUACGAAGGGUGCUAGCGCUGUUCGGAAUUACUGGGCGUAAAGGGCGCGCAGGCGGUCUUGUCCGUCAGGUGUGAAAGCUCGGGGCUCAACCCCGGAAGUGCACUUGGAACAGCAAGACUUGAAUACGGUAGAGGAGAGAGGAAUUCCUGGUGUAGAGGUGAAAUUCGUAGAUAUUGGGAAGAACACCAGUGGCGAAGGCGGCUAACUGGCUCGGUACUGACGCUGAGAUGCGAAAGCGUGGGGAGCAAACAGGAUUAGAUA
rnacentral:rRNA from 1 species